UACAGAGGUCUCGAGCGUUAGGCGGAAUCACUGGGCUUAAAGCGUGUGUAGGUGGAGUCGUUAAGUACCUUGUGAAAUCCCACGGCUUAACCGUGGAACUGCUUGGUAUACUGGCGGUCUUGAGCCAGCUAGGGGCUACCGGAACAAAUGGUGGAGCGGUGAAAUGCGUAGAGAUCGGGAGGAACACCAGUGGCGAAGGCGGCUACCUGGACCAGCACUAGACACGUGAGGCACGAAAGCGUGGGGAGCAAACAGG
rnacentral:rRNA from 1 species